rnacentral:rRNA from 1 species
AUUGAACGCUGGCGGCAGGCCUAACACAUGCAAGUCGGACGGUAGCACAGAGAGCUUGCUCUCGGGUGACGAGUGGCGGACGGGUGAGUAAUGUCUGGGGAUCUGCCCGAGAGAGGGGGAUAACCACUGGAAACGGUGGCUAAUACCGCAUAACGUCGCAAGACCAAAGAGGGGGACCUUCGGGCCUCUCACUAUCGGAUGAACCCAGAUGGGAUUAGCUAGUAGGCGGGGUAACGGCCCACCUAGGCGACGAUCCCUAGCUGGUCUGAGAGGAUGACCAGCCACACUGGAACUGAGACACGGUCCAGACUCCUACGGGAGGCAGCAGUGGGGAAUAUUGCACAAUGGGCGCAAGCCUGAUGCAGCCAUGCCGCGUGUUUGAAGAAGGCCUUCGGGUUGUAAAGUACUUUCAGCGGGGAGGAAGGCGAUGUGGUUAAUAACCGUAUCGAUUGACGUUACCCGCAGAAGAAGCACCGGCUAACUCCGUGCCAGCCGCCGCCGUAA